UGAAAUUAAAACCCGUUACUCCUCUGCGUUAAAACACUGUUUCGAACCGUCUUGGUAUAAAAGGGUACUAAGCGCUUAAAGAAAAAAAAUACAACAAAGAUUGCUACACGGAGAAAGGAGAGAGUGAUCGAGAGAAAAGAGUGAGGAAUAGAGAGACAGAGAUAGAGAGAAGGGCGAUGAAACAGAGAGAGGCCGAGAAAGAGAGAGGCGAUGAAAUAGAGAGAGGAUGAGGCCUGGGACACGGAGAAAGAAACAGAGAAAGAGGCAGAACGGUUAACACUGCAUCGAUUGGGCACCAUACAUUGCUUUUUUUUCCAUUUUUUAGAUUUGGGCUUUUGAAGGACUUGAUUUUGGUUUAGGGUUACGUUUUUGGUCCAGCACCACCCAUCUUCGGCUCCAUUCAAUCACAGCCUCAACGGUGACUUUGAUUCCCAGUUCGUUCUCUGGCCGAGUUCGUCUCUGCAACAGCAUAUUUUGAAGAAAGAUCCGUGAGGAAGAAGCUUAACUAAAGGAUUGAGCUCUUUCAUGUCACAUGCAAUCACAGCGUAGACCCAUGUAUCUAUGUGGAUUGGAUCAAAGUGCCAGUGGAGGUGAAACUUUUGUAGUGGAUUCGAAUUGCAAAGAGCCCAAGUGUAGGUAUAUAUUUUAUUUUGAAUCCAUAAUGUUUGAUAAAAUGCUUGAAAGAAAAUUGAUUAAUUAUAUUUCUAUCUUGAUGAAUUUAUAAUUUAUUUUCGUUUCUUCAGUAUUUUGUUUGGGACUAGAAACAAUUAAAUUUGUGAAAAGUUGAUUGAAAGAACUUACAAUUACAGAUACAUAGCUUGCGUUCAUUGGGUUUUCUUUAUUUUUGCUCAUGCUGAUGUUGGUUGUAUGAUGUAUCAGCCUCUAAUUGACACAGGUGGAAACAAAUUAACUUACCUUUGGAUAAAAAAGCGGUUAUUUCUUUAAAGAUAUACUUUGUUUUUAACUAUUGACGGUUAAGGAUAAUUUAGAAGUGAAUUUUUAAAACGAUUACCAUAAUCUGCACAUAUUAUAUAUGUCUUGCUUAUUGUAGACUUUUACCAUGUAGAUGGAAGCAAAUUAUCUUAAGUCUAUGAAAUGAGAUGUGCUUAGGGUUAAUAAUUAUAUUCAAGUUUCUUUAGAAGCCUCUAAAGUGACACCCCAUAUUAUCCAGUAAUAUUUAUUUUAAGCAGAAAAUAACUUCCUAAAUGGGAAUAUUUAAGAGUCAUGUCCUUCAACCUAAGAAUACAUGUGACAAAUGUAAAGUGUGUGCAUUAAUGC